rnacentral:rRNA from 47 species
AGAAUGACUCUCGGCAACGGAUAUCUAGGCUCUUGCAUCGAUGAAGAACGUAGCGAAAUGCGAUACUUGGUGUGAAUUGCAGAAUCCCGUGAACCAUCGAGUCUUUGAACGCAAGUUGCGCCCGAUGCCAUUAGGUUGAGGGCACGUCUGCCUGGGCGUCACAU